rnacentral:rRNA from 1 species
GAUGAGCCUGCGGCGGAUUAGCUAGUUGGUAAGGUAACGGCUUACCAAGGCGACGAUCUGUAGCCGGCCUGAGAGGGCGGUCGGCCACACUGACACUGACAUACGGGUCAGACUCCUACGGGAGGCAGCAGUCGGGAACUUUGGGCAAUGGGCGAAAGCCUGACCCAGCAACGCCGCGUGAAGGAUGAAAUCCCUCGGGAUGUAAACUUCGCAAGAAUGGGAAGAAUUAGUAGGGGACAAUACCCCCUAUGAUGACGGUACCAUUUGUAAGCUCCGGCUAACUCCGUGCCAGCAGCCGCGGUAAUACGGGGGGAGCAAGCGUUGUUCGGAUUUACUGGGCGUAAAGGGCGCGUAGGCGGCCAGCGCAAGUCGGUUGUGAAAUCUCCGGGCUUAACUCGGAAAGGUCAACCGAUACUGCGCGGCUAGAGUGCGGAAGGGGCAACUGGAAUUCUCGGUGUAGCGGUGAAAUGCGUAGAUAUCGAGAGG